GAUGAACGCUAGCGGGAGGCUUAACACAUGCAAGUCGAGGGGCAGCACGGGUAGCAAUACCUGGUGGCGACCGGCGCAAGGGUGCGUAACGCGUGAGCAACAUGCCCUAUACAGGGGGAUAAUCCAGGGAAACUUGGUCUAAUAUCCCAUAGUAUUUAGAGGAGGCAUCUUCUAUAAAUUAAAGCUUCGGUGGUAUAGGAUUGGCUCGCGUGACAUUAGCUAGAUGGUGAGGUAACGGCUCACCAUGGCAAUGAUGUCUAGGGGUUCUGAGAGGAAGGCCCCCCACACUGGGACUGAGACACGGCCCAGACUCCUACGGGAGGCAGCAGUGAGGAAUAUUGGACAAUGGAUGGAAAUCUGAUCCAGCCAUGCCGCGUGCAGGAAGACAGCCCUAUGGGUUGUAAACUGCUUUUAUAUGGGAGCAAUAAGGUCUACGUGUAGACUGAUGAGAGUACCAUAUGAAUAAGC
rnacentral:rRNA from 1 species